UGCACCGGCAGGUACUUUGUUAGGGUACCGACUACUGUUGUUGGAGGCAAAAAAUCACAAAAAAUAAUGAAAAAUUGGCGCGAUUCAAUCAUUAGAUUGAACUUGAACUAGAUUCAACAUCGAAAAUUUCCUGGAAACAGAGCAGGGACCAGGGAGGGGAUAAAACCUUAUCAGCUGACAGUGAGUGACUGAGUGACUAGCGAACAGAUUUCGAUUAUCGUUUCAUUUACCCCGACAUCCGACUUCCGAGAUUCGAACAGAAAUUUGUGAUUUUGUAUAUUGAGAAUGAAUUAAUUACCCUGUACUUGGACUUACUUUACUUUUCCAGCUAUGCGAAUCGAAGGUAUUGAUCUAUUGAUGAGCAAAGUGGUCAUCGUCAUAUAUGGGAAGAAAUGAAACCAAUCAUUUUUCUGUACCGUAAGAACAUCAGCUAUAGUACAUAGCAAAUUCGACAGCUGUACGACGAGUAUUGAGAAGUACUGAUAAGAAAAGAAUCAGUGGCGAAGUGUUAGCGAAGUGUUCUGCAUGAUUGUUGAAUGAAUUGGAUGCGUGCGAAUGUAUCAACAAAUACGGCAUGUCGCAUUAUUAAUUAACAAUUUAGCAUCACCUCACCUUCUACGUGUCGAGCUCAGGAUGGAGUCUAAUAGAAGAAAUUGUAGAUAAGUAAGUGCAUAAUUAUGUUGCAGAUUUGGUACUUUAUUCUGUAUACAUUUACUAGAUUCAAAUAGUAAGUCAAUGUGCAUGCGUAUCUUUAUACAAACUACAGAAAGCCUGCGCGCCGUAGGUAUAUGAUACCAAAAGUUAUACGGUUCCUUAUAAUCAUCAUUGAUAAGUA